rnacentral:rRNA from 1 species
AACGAACGCUGGCGGCAUGCCUAACACAUGCAAGUCGAACGAGACCUUCGGGUCUAGUGGCGCACGGGUGCGUAACGCGUGGGAACCUGCCCUUAGGUUCGGAAUAACUCCCCGAAAGGGGUGCUAAUACCGGAUAAUGUCUUCGGACCAAAGAUUUAUCGCCUUUGGAUGGGCCCGCGUUGGAUUAGCUAGUUGGUAGGGUAAAAGCCUACCAAGGCGACGAUCCAUAGCUGGUCUGAGAGGAUGAUCAGCCACACUGGGACUGAGACACGGCCCAGACUCCUACGGGAGGCAGCAGUUGGGAAUAUUGGACAAUGGGCGAAAGCCUGAUCCAGCAAUGCCGCGUGAGGGAUGAAGGCCUUAGGGUUGUAAAGCUCUUUUACCCGGGAUGAUAAUGACAGUACCGGGAGAAUAAGCUCCGGCUAACUCCGUG